rnacentral:piRNA from 1 species
UGGACUGCCAAGAUGUUUUUU